rnacentral:lncRNA from 1 species
GGGAGAGUCGACAAGCGCCGGCUGGUGGACGACGUGCGGCAGGCGCUGUACGCGUCGAAGAUCUGCAGCUACGCGCAGGGGAUGAACCUACUGAGAGCGAAGAGCGAGGAGAAGGCGUGGGGGCUGGACCUGGGGGAGCUCUCCAGGAUCUGGAAGGGAGGCUGCAUCAUCAGGGCGAGGUUCCUGGACAGGAUCAAGGCGGCGUAUAAUCGGAACCGGGACCUGCCCAACCUGGUCGUCGACCCGGAUUUCGCCAAGGAGAUGGUACAGCGGCAGGCAGCGUGGAGGAGGGUGGUGGGUCUGGCCAUCGCCGCCGGCGUCAGCACGCCUGGGAUGUGUGCCAGCCUCGCCUACUUCGAC